CCUACGGGCGGCAGCAGUGGGGAAUAUUGGACAAUGGGCGAAAGCCUGAUCCAGCCAUGCCGCGUGUGUGAAGAAGGCCUUCGGGUUGUAAAGCACUUUCAGUGGGGAAGAAAGCCUUGGGGCUAAUACCCUCGAGGAAGGACAUCACCCACAGAAGAAGCACCGGCUAACUCCGUGCCAGCAGCCGCGGUAAUACGGAGGGUGCGAGCGUUAAUCGGAAUUACUGGGCGUAAAGCGCGCGUAGGCGGUCUGAUAAGCCGGUUGUGAAAGCCCCGGGCUCAACCUGGGAACGGCAUCCGGAACUGUCAGGCUAGAGGGCAGGAGAGGAAGGUAGAAUUCCCGGUGUAGCGGUGAAAUGCGUAGAGAUCGGGAGGAAUACCAGUGGCGAAGGCGGCCUUCUGGACUGACACUGACGCUGAGGUGCGAAAGCGUGGGUAGCAAACAGGAUUAGAUACCCUGGUAGUC
rnacentral:rRNA from 1 species